UUGGAGACGGGCUCCCGUGGACUGGAACUCCACGCACCUGACACUCAGGGGAAGUGACUGAGGACAAAAGGGAGCAGUGAGAAUUCAGAAGCUCCGGAGUCAGGCCUCUGAUUUGUGUGCUGGCCUCUACAGGAUCACACCGCACGACCUUGGGACAGACGGUCCCGUGACUUCCCCGGGACCUCCGUGUCCAACGCCCGAGGGCCGGCUCAUCUCUACUGCCUCCUCCAGGCUGAAAUCUGACGCAGGGACUCAUUUGGAGGUGGACAUGGGACCCAGUUGGGGCAGAUGAGAUGCCAACGGGCAGCAAAUCAGUUGGGCGCCUUCUGAGGAAGACUCUCUAUGCUUGAUCAAAAGAAAAAGGUAUGCCAGGGCAAUCCUUGUUUUCCUUCCUACUUUGGGACGUAGUUGUAUGAAGACAUGAUACCUGGAGAUGCCUUUUACACCUGUGUUGCCAUGGCAUGACAAGAAUAUCCUAUCAGUAGCCCUCUAGUCCCAGAGGAAAAGAGGCCCAUCGACUGAAAAACUCAAGCAGCCUAUGGACCUUCAACUUGAAACCGAGUCGUUCGGUCAGAUUCAGACUCCCUUUGGCUGCUACAGCUUGAAGCAGAGCUUCUUAGCUGACCUCAGAUCCAUGAGAAAACCACUGAGUUUGGGGAAUACUUGUUACUCAGCGUCACUUGGCGACAGCUAACCAGUAAGGCAUCGUAUUCCCCAGUCUGCCGUCACCUGAGCUGCAGAAUCUAAAGUCUCAGUCCAGGACCACCCUGAUACGGAAGAGAAUAUAAUAAGGAAAUUUUUGCCCCUGGUGUUUGGGAACCAGAGUAACCCACAUAAGCAAGGUUAAGUAGGGGCCGUGGAGCAGUAUGGUUAGGAAAAAAAAAGUUAAAAUUCUGGAUCGAGUCUAUCCUAAUUGCUGAAAUGGACCAAAAAGCUAUAGACUUACCGAUCAAUCAGAUGCGAGAAACUGUAUCUAAGCAGCACUUAGCUGAAGGCAGGGAUGGGAAAAUAGGUGAAAGUAUACCAGGUUUAUACCUCAAGUUCCAAUUGUUCAAUAAUUCUGCUCCACUCAAUAUUUUUCUCCCUUAAGAAAUCAAUGUCACCGUCAAAGUGGCAAUUUUGUGCCACGCCCUUUCAUCUAAACCGUAUGUAAAAGUGUGGACAGUGGUCUCACCAUGGCUCCCUUUUCGUUUAUAUUUUAUUGUCUUAUUUUGUGUCCAUCUAUUGUGUGUAUAGCUGGCUUUUGUGCGAGAAAUCUUCCAAAUGAUGUCUGAAUAUAUACGUAAUGUAAACCUGGUCUCCAGGCUUGUAGAAACUUUCAAGGAAUACUAGGAAUUUAUUCAAGGGCGAUCAACACCGUUAUUGCUAACAUAGAAAUUAUUAAUGGCUGUAGUAGCACUACCAUUUCCUGAGCCCUUUUGCAAGCCUAGCUGUGUGGAGAUGUUCUGCACACACGUUCUCCAAUCCUCAUACCAGUUGAUUAGGUGGGUACGGUUAUCCCGUGUUCUUCCAGUAAUAAUAAAGAAACAUGGUGGGUGCUGCUUCGGGCGUGGAAGUGAGCUCUUCACAUGCGUUGCCUCAAUGCCUUCUCACAGCCCUGACAGCGGGAAGGGUUAUUUUCCCAUGUGUUAGAUGAGCAAGCCGAGGAUCCAGUGGCUGAAGGGACUUUCUCACAUCACACAGUCGAGAAGAAAUAGCGUCAGGCCUUGAACCUGGCCUGCCUGGUUCUAAACCCCUGUUUGCUCUGCUUCACGAUUGUCUCCCAGAAACAGAAACCAUGUUGCCUUUCUACUACUCUGACCCGUCGUCCCCAACCCAGAUGGGUUUGCUCAUCCACUCCAGAAAUCUUUUCCGGCACCAAAAUUGGCAAUGCCAAGAUUUGAGUGGAGUCCCGUGUAGAUCGAAUCUGGUGACACCGGGGCAAAGGCCAGCACAAAAGGCGAGGAAAAGUCUAACAACUUUUAGCUGCUGUCUGUCUGGCAGCUCCCUCUCCUCGCGUCUGCCUCAGAGACCAAACUGCCACCAGCCUCGAGGCAGGGGGGACCCACCCUGCUGAUGGGAGACCUUUGACUGGGAAGCAGCCAAUGGGUGCCGACCAAAGAAACAAACACACAUUAUUCUUUCCUUCACAAAACUUGAGAGUUUACAAGUGCCUUUUAUACAUUUUGAGUCUUGCAUCCACUGUGUGAAAUAAAUCUCAUUCUGCCCAAAGUAUUUGUCAUCUCAGAUGUUAUAUUCUGCUCUCCUUUAGUGGAGACCUAGAAUAUUCCAGGGACCUUUCUGGGCAGUUUCUCGUACAAGACCUCAUUUAAAUCCCACCAAGUGCCUCUGAAGUAGAGAUCGUUAUUUCCACCUUGAAGAAAAGGAAGUUGAGGAUCUGGGUGAUGGUGUGACACAUUCAUCCCCAUCCAGAAAGUCAGUGUGUUUGAGCCCAGAUCAUCCUUCAUCACACCUGUGCUCAGUCCGCGGCCCGAGGCCACUGUAGGACGUUGCCCACAGGCUCUGACCCAGCAGCCUGGCCUCCGCUGAAACAGUGCUGUGCUGAUGGCUUCUUCAGUCAGUCUGUCUCACUCUUGUGCCUAGAAGUAGACGACUUGUCUCGUGCAGUUGACACGACUUCUGAUCGAGAAGGCGCCGCAUCUGAGGAACUGAACCCAAGGAGCUUCACUGACAUCUUGGCGGAUUAGAUGUUAAGGCCCUGAACGUGGAGCCCAAACCUAAUGCCACCAUGGUGUAAGACAUCAGGGGGGUGUUAGGACGUGCUGGGUGAAAUUAGUAAAUAAUUUGUUGCCAGCGGGCAGAGUGUGGCGUGGCUGUUUUUUAAACCUAAUCCCAAUGGUUGUUGAGAUUCUUCCCUUAGGAGUGGGUAGAGUCUCUGUCCCCUCCCUUGAAUCUGGACUCUGGGACAGCUUGGCCAAUAGCCUAUAACAGAAGUGGUGCUGUGUUAGUUUCAGGCCCGGGACUUAAUGAAUGGAUGGUUUUCCAUUGCUGUCUCUUGGGUCACCUACCCUUCAAACCUAGCCACCACACUGUGAGGAAACCCAAGCCACACUGCGGGGAGACCCACACGGGGAGGAGCUGACGAGAAGCUUUCUUAGCCAUGGGAGCGAGCUGUCUGGGAAGAGGGUCCCCCAGGUGAGCUGGCCCAGGCAGUGCAGCAUGGAGCAGGGGGUGAGAUGUCUCUGCUGAGCCCUGAGCAAACCACAGAUUCAUAAGCAAAAUAAAUGACUGUUGUAGUUUUAUACCACUGUGUUUUGGGGUGCUUAGAUACACAGCAAUGGAUAACUAGAAGAGAGGAACCUGGCCUUUCCACUGACAGUCACUUUGAAUCGUUACAGCAAUCCACUUAAACAGAUGGAGAAACCGAGGCUCAGAAGGGAUACAUAACUCGCUUGAGAUCCCAUAUCUACAAGAUCCUGCGGGGACUCUGAGUGUAAGACCAGCAUACCAGCAAACUCUGCCUUCAGGUUAUGCGAUGCCUUCUUGGGAAUAACAAAUGCAUCCAGGUUUGAAUUCCAGGCACAAUUCCAAGGAGCGCCUCCUGGGGUAGGGGGUCAGCUGAGCAACUUUCUGCCUGUGUGACCUCAGGGUCAUCACCUAACUUCCCUGAUCCUCAGUUUCCUCAUCCAUAAGAGAAGGACAAAAAUAUCAGCCUCACCGAGUUGUUUUAAGGAUCAAAUGAGUACAUAUUGGUAAAUAACAGUACCCGGCCCAAAAUCAGUACUCGAUACAUCGAGUGUCCCUAACUUUGAGGACUUAGAGAGAAGAAUUUUCUUUGCUUAUUCCUCCCUGACCCUAAAGAGAGAGCUCCCUGGGGUCACGAUGAAACAGAUGCAUCCCACCCCUGAGCCUCAUUUAUUUUAACCUCCUCAAAGAUUCAGCCCUUGUGCCUCCACUCCGGCAUCCCCUGCGGACAAGAAUGAAGCUCAAGCCACGGCCAGUAAGCUUUGCUCACAAAUUCCUCCUUCACGACUGACUGAGCCCCGAAACUGGAAACAAACAUUCUGUUGAAUCAUGUAAAUCCCCGCUCAUCUCCAAAUUGGGUGCUGGAGUGCCUCGGGGAAGUGAUUUUACAACCUCACUGACUUCAACCAAGGUAGACACCAAUUGCUUUUGCAAGAUAAUUCAGCCUGCCCCUGGCAACAAGAGCGUGCAGGGGCUCCCUCCCUUCUCCCCUGGACUGAAGGGGAGCAGUCUCUUCCUUAGGGAGGGAGAGGAGAGAGAUCUUAAGCCUCCCACCCCAGGAAGCCUUCCCCCGGACCUCGCAGGUGGAAUUCAGAGACUCAUCACUUACUCACAUUCUCACUUGAAAAAGGAUCUCAGAUAAGGGGCAGGGUGGGGGAGGGCCAUCUUGAGAGAUGGCCUCUGCAAUAUGAGGUCAAGGUCACCUGCGCUUUGCCUCACAACCUCCUGGAUUUCAGAGGCAGGGUAAUGCUGUAAUGGAGCUACCCUUACAUCUCCGCGCAGGAAAAUGCUUUCUAGCCUGUGGGCCCCUGGGGAGAACUGUUAUCUUUUCUUGUACCACUGCCUUUUUAAAAAAAGUUUAUUUUCAAAUCUAGGCCUUGCAAUAGAUCAUUCAGCCCACAGCCAACAGCCCUGUCUAUCCUGAGAUGCUGUGGCUGUGUUGUCACAGACGACAAUUCCCCAUGUUGGUUUGAAAGAUUACUUUCCUCCCAGUGGCUCGAGUCCCAUUGCAAAUGUUAGAAAACAGGUCAGCAGCCCCACCAGUAAUCAUAAUCAUAAAAAUUACUGUCUGUUUUUGAGAGCUUAGUCUCCAAGGACUUAAUAACCGCUAUAUUGUGUAUUUUUUGCUUUGGCUCCAAAAAGCAGAUCUUAUUGUCUGUAUGUAUUUCAUAUAUGCAGAAACAGGUUCAAUAGCCAAGUAAGUUGUCUAAGGCCACGCAGCUAACAUGUGGCAGAGUUAGAAUUUUUUUACUGAAGAAUAACUUACCUACAAUAUUGUAUUAGUUCCAGGUAUACAACAUAGCGAUUCGAUAUUUAUAUAGCUUGUGAAAUGACCACCACAAGAAGUCUAGUUACCAUCUGUCACCUUACAAAGUUGUUACAGUGUUAUUGACUGUAUUUUCCAUGAUGUACAGUAUAUCCCCGUGACUUAUUUAGUUCAUAACUGGAAGCUCGGACCUCUUAAUCUCGUUCACCUCUUUCACUCAUCCUCCCAUCGCCCUGCCCUCCAGCAACCGCCAAUCUGUUCUCUGUAUCUAGGAGUCUGUUUCUUGGGGUUGGGGGUUUGUUUUAUUUUUAGAUGCCAGAUACAAGUGAAAUCAUAUAAUUUUGUCUUUCUCUCUCUGACUUAUGUCACUAAGCAGAAUACCCUCUAUGUCCACAUUGUUUCAAAUAUCAAGCUUUCAUUCUUUUUUAUGGUUGAGUAAUAUUCCUCUGUGUGUGUGUGUGUGUGUGUGUGUGUGUGUGUGUGUACCCCUCAUCUUCCUUAUCCAUUCAUCUAUCAAUGGACACUUGGACUGCUUCCUUACCUUGGCUAAUGUAAACAAUGGUGCCGUGAACAUAGGGGUGCAUAUGGCUUUUUGGGUUAAUGUUUUCAUGUUCUUUGGAUAAACAUCUAGAAGCAGAACUUCUGGCUCCUAUGGUAACUCUGUUUUUGAUUGUUUGAGGAACCUCCAUACUGUUUUCCACACUGGCCGCUCCGGUUUGCCUUCCCACC